rnacentral:rRNA from 1 species
CCCUUAGAUGUUCUGGGCCGCACGCGCGCUACAAUGAUUAGUUCAACAAGUUGUUUCCACCUUGCCCGGAAGGGUUGGGUAACCUUGCGAAAACUAAUCGUGCUGAGGUUAGAUCAUUGUAAUUAUUGAUCUCUAAUCAGGAAUUCCUAGUAAGCGCGAGUUAUCAGCUCGCGUUGAUUACGUCCCCGCCCUUUGUACACACCGCCCGUCGCUACUACUGAUUGGAUGAUCCGGCCAGUUGUUCGGAGCUGGGGCAACGCUAUGGGGGCAACUCUGUAGUAAGUUCUGGCAAAGUUCCACCAGCCUUACCAUCUAGAAGAAGUAAAAGUCGUAACA